CCUACGGGAGGCAGCAGUAGGGAAUCUUUCACAAUGGGCGAAAGCCUGAUGGAGCAACGCCGCGUGCAGGAUGAAGGCCUUCGGGUUGUAAACUGCUUUUAUAAGCGAGAAAUAUGAUGGUAACUUAUGAAUAAGGAUCGGCUAACUACGUGCCAGCAGCCGCGGUCAUACGUAGGAUCCGAGCAUUAUCCGGAGUGACUGGGUGUAAAGAGUUGCGUAGGUGGCAUAAUAAGUAGCUAGUGAAAUCUGGUGGCUCAACCAUUCAGACUAUUAGCUAAACUGUUAAGCUCGAGACCGUUAGGGGUAACUGGAAUUUCUAGUGUAGGAGUGAAAUCCGUAGAUAUUAGAAGGAACACCAAUAGCGUAGGCAGGUUGCUGGGACGGUUCUGACACUAAGGCACGAAAGCGUAGGGAGCAAACGGGAUUAGACACCCGAGUAGUC
rnacentral:rRNA from 1 species